UACAGGCUGCAUUGUGCGUAUUUAAUUUAAGUUUUAACCUCUAAUGAAAUAAUAGGGAGUUUUACAUUGAAAUCAUAAUGUCGGGCCGCCAAGAGCGGAAGACAGGAAGGUUUCUGCGAACACCCACUUGGUGAAGUGGUGGUUUAAAACUUUUUAUUAUAUAAAUACGGCAUUGUGGCUCGUAU
rnacentral:other from 1 species